rnacentral:rRNA from 1 species
GGGAAACUGAGGAUAAUAUUUCAUAGUUGAAUAGGCUUGGAAAAGUUUUUCAAUAAAAGGGAUAAAAAAAAUGGUUUCUAUCUGCUAUAGGAUAGGAUCGUGGACGAUUAUGGUUGUUGGUGAGGUAACGGCUCACCAAGCCGAUAAUCGAUAGGGGCCGUGAGAGCGGGAGCCCCGAUAUGGGUACUUAGACAACGACCCAGGCCUUACGAGGCGCAGCAGGCGCGGAACCUCCGCAAUACACGAAAGUGUGACGGGGUUACCCAAAGUGUUCAAUUCUGAACUGUGGUAGGUGAGUAAUGUCCCCUACUACAAAGGAGAGGGCAAGGCUGGUGCCAGCCGCCGCGGUAAAACCAGCUCUUCAAGUGGUCGGGAUAAUUAUUGGGCUUAAAGUGUCCGUAGCCGGUUUAGUAAGUUCCUGGUAAAAUCGGGUAGCUUAACUAUCCGUAUGCU